AUUGAACGCUGGCGGCGUGCUUAACACAUGCAAGUCGUGCGGUAACAGGUGUAGCAAUACAUGCUGACGAGCGGCGAACGGGUGAGUAAUGCUUCGGAGUCUUCCUAGUAGUGGGGAAUAACCUGGGGAAACUCAGGCUAAUACCGCAUACGAACUACGGUUGAAAGCAGGGGAUCGCAAGACCUUGCGCUAUUAGAUGAGCCGAAGUCGGAUUAGCUAGUUGGUGAGGUAAAGGCUCACCAAGGCGACGAUCCGUAGCUGGUCUGAGAGGACGACCAGCCACACUGGAACUGAGACACGGUCCAGACUCCUACUGGAGGCAGCAGUGGGGAAUAUUGGACAAUGGGGGCAACCCUGAUCCAGCGACGCCGCGUGUGUGAAGAAGGCCUGCGGGUUGUAAAGCACUUUUAGUGGGGACAAAAAGCCGAGGGCUAAUACUCUUCGGUCUUGAUUUAACCCAAAGAAAAAGCACCGGCUAACUCUGUGCCAGCAGCCGCCGUAACAC
rnacentral:rRNA from 1 species